ensembl:processed_transcript
GAGCGGGGUGCUGGGGAGGUGUGGGACACUGGCACUCAUGCCAGGCUCCAUAGAGCAGGACCCCCGCCAACCCCUGCGACAUUCAUAAAAGGCUGCCCCCUCCAUCCCCACCCCACCCCCACCCCCAACACCCGCACGCUUGGUCCCCACGUGGAGCUGGCCCUGGGAACCUGGGGGUAGUGAGCCACCAGGUGGGAACCCGAGGACUGCGCAGAACCUUUGCAGAAUCACAAACCCAGCGUCUCGCGGUGCUAGACUGUGCCCAGGACCCUUCUUUGUCACGUGAUUCCCAGAUGCGGGUGCAAAUCUCUCUGCGGACUGCGGACUGCGUACGUGCCUCUCUGCGUGGGGAAUGCAGGGCUCAUUCUCUGGAACCCAGAAGGCCGAGCUUCCAGAACCGCUGCUGACAGGUGUCUGCGGAGGAGGCUCCCCACCUGCUGGACCAACCGCCGGCUUCCUUCCUCUCCCCAGGGCUGAGUCACUGGAGCAUCUAUCUGCACGCUGGUGCGGUUUCGACUUUCGCCCAAGUGCAUAGUGGUAUAUCAUCCGAGAGGCAAAGUCAGGCUGUUCCUGGUACCAAGACAGAGGCCGAGGUGACAUGCAUUGUCCCUGGCAGCCUGGCUUCUUACAACCUCCUGGGAGGACAGAGGGACCUGUCAGGCUUCAGCCUGGUGGAGAAACCCCUUUGAUUUCCACAGCCUGAAAAUUACUCUCCUGUGCGACCGGGAACAGAAGAGUUCCGUUUCACUGUUUCUAUGUUUAUUUAUUUUUAAUCCAAAUACACAGAGGUAGCUUU